rnacentral:rRNA from 1 species
UACGGAAGGCAGCAGUGGGGAAUAUUGCACAAUGGGCGCAAGCCUGAUGCAGCCAUGCCGCGUGUAUGAAGAAGGCCUUCGGGUUGUAAAGUACUUUCAGUCGUGAGGAAGGUGUUAAGGUUAAUAACCUUAGCAAUUGACGUUAGCGACAGAAGAAGCACCGGCUAACUCCGUGCCAGCAGCCGCGGUAAUACGGAGGGUGCGAGCGUUAAUCGGAAUUACUGGGCGUAAAGGGCACGCAGGCGGUUAAUUAAGUUGGAUGUGAAAUCCCCGGGCUUAACCUGGGAAUGGCAUUCAAGACUGGUUAGCUAGAGUCUUGUAGAGGGGGUAGAAUUCCAUGUGUAGCGGUGAAAUGCGUAGAGAUGUGGAGGAAUACCGGUGGCGAAGGCGGCCCCUGGACAAAGACUGACGCUCAUGUGCGAAAGCUGGGGAGCAAAC